CAGUCGCCGCGGUAAUACGAAGGGGGCUAGCGUUGCUCGGAAUUACUGGGCGUAAAGGGCGCGUAGGCGGUUUGUUAAGUCUGUUGUGAAAUCCCCGGGCUCAACCUGGGAAUGGCAAUGGAUACUGGCAAGCUAGAGUGUGUCAGAGGAUGGCGGAAUUCCCGGUGUAGCGGUGAAAUGCGUAGAGAUCGGGAGGAACAUCAGUGGCGAAGGCGGCCAUCUGGGACAACACUGACGCUGAGGCACGAAAGCGUGGGGAGCAAACAGGAUUAGAUACCCGGGUAGUUCCUGUCUCUUAUAC
rnacentral:rRNA from 1 species